UGGGGAAUAUUGCACAAUGGGCGCAAGCCUGAUGCAGCCAUGCCGCGUGUAUGAAGAAGGCCUUAGGGUUGUAAAGUACUUUCAGUCGGGAGGAAGGCGUUGAUGCUAAUAUCAUCAACGAUUGACGUUACCGACAGAAGAAGCACCGGCUAACUCCGUGCCAGCAGCCGCGGUAAUACGGAGGGUGCAAGCGUUAAUCGGAAUUACUGGGCGUAAAGCGCACGCAGGCGGUUGAUUAAGUUAGAUGUGAAAUCCCCGGGCUUAACCUGGGAAUGGCAUCUAAGACUGGUCAGCUAGAGUCUUGUAGAGGGGGGUAGAAUUCCAUGUGUAGCGGUGAAAUUGCGUAGAGAUGUGGAGGAAUACCGGUGGCGAAGGCGGCCCCCUGGACAAAGACUGACGCUCAGGUGCGAAAGCGUGGGAGCAAACA
rnacentral:rRNA from 1 species